UACGUAGGGUGCAAGCGUUGUCCGGAAUUACUGGGCGUAAAGAGCUCGUAGGCGGUUUGUCACGUCGGAUGUGAAAUCCCGAGGCUCAACCUCGGGUCUGCAUACGAUACGGGCAGACUAGAGUUCGGUAGGGGAGACUGGAAUUCCUGGUGUAGCGGUGAAAUGCGCAGAUAUCAGGAGGAACACCGGUGGCGAAGGCGGGUCUCUGGGCCGAUACUGACGCUGAGGAGCGAAAGCGUGGGGAGCAAACAGGAUUAGAUACCCUGGUAGUCCACGCCGUAAACGUUGGGCGCUAGGUGUGGGGAACUUUCCACGUUCUCCGUGCCGCAGCUAACGCAUUAAGCGCCCCGCCUGGGGAGUACGGCCGCAAGGCUAAAACUCAAAG
rnacentral:rRNA from 1 species